rnacentral:rRNA from 1 species
AGCAGCCGCGGUAAUUCCAGCUCCAAUAGCGUAUAUUAAAGUUGUUGUGGUUAAAAGCUCGUAGUUGAACCUUGGGCCUGGCUGGCCGGUCCGCCUCACCGCGUGUACUGGUCCGGCCGGGCCUUUCCCUCUGUGGAACCCCAUGCCCUUCACUGGGUGUGGCGGGGAAACAGGACUUUUACUUUGAAAAAAUUAGAGUGCUCCAGGCAGGCCUAUGCUCGAAUACAUUAGCAUGGAAUAAUAGAAUAGGACGUGUGGUUCUAUUUUGUUGGUUUCUAGGACCGCCGUAAUGAUUAAUAGGGACAGUCGGGGGCAUCAGUAUUCAAUUGUCAGAGGUGAAAUUCUUGGAUUUAUUGAAGACUAACUACUGCGAAAGCAUUUGCCAAGGAUGUUUUCAUUAAUCAGGAACGAAAGUUAGGGGAUCGAAGACGAUCAGAUACCGUCGUAGUCUUAACCAUAAACUAAUGCCGACUAGGGAUCGGAC